rnacentral:rRNA from 1 species
CAGCCGCCGCGUUAAUACCAGCGGCCCGAGUGGCGGUCACUAUUAUUGGGCUUAAAGCGUCCGUAGCCGGGUUGGGAAGUCCUCCGGGAAAUCUGGCCGCUUAACGGUCAGAAUGCCGGAGGAUACUCCCAGCCUAGGGAGCGGGAGAGGCCGAGGGUAUUCCCGGAGUAGGGGUGAAAUCCUAUAAUCCCGGGAGGACCACCUGUGGCGAAGGCGCUCGGCUGGAACGCGUCCGACGGUGAGGGACGAAGGCCAGGGGAGCAAACCGGAUUAGAUACCCGGGUAGUCCUGGCGGUAAACGAUGCGGACUUUGUGUCGGACAAGCUAUGAGCUUGUCCGGUGCCGGAGGGAAACCGUUAAGUCCGCCGCCUGGGGAGUACGGCCGCAAGGCUGAAACUUAAAGGAAUUGGCGGG